rnacentral:hammerhead_ribozyme from 1 species
AUCCAGCUGAUGAGUCCUAAAUAGAACGAAACGCUCACCCUGUAU